UACGGAGGGUGCGAGCGUUAUCCGGAUUCACUGGGUUUAAAGGGCGCGUAGGCGGUUCUGUAAGUCAGGGGUGAAAUCUCCGAGCUUAACUUGGAAACUGCCAUUGAUACUAUAGAUCUUGAAUUUUCUGGAGGUAAGCGGAAUAUGUCAUGUAGCGGUGAAAUGCUUAGAUAUGACAUAGAACACCAAUUGCGAAGGCAGCUUGCUACAGGAAUAUUGACACUGAGGCACGAAAGCGUGGGGAUCAAACAGG
rnacentral:rRNA from 1 species